UACGAAGGGGGCUAGCGUUGCUCGGAAUGACUGGGCGUAAAGGGCGCGUAGGCGGUUCAUACAGUCAGAUGUGAAAUUCCCGGGCUUAACCUGGGGGCUGCAUUUGAUACGUGUGGGCUUGAGUGAGAAAGAGGGUUGUGGAAUUCCCAGUGUAGAGGUGAAAUUCGUAGAUAUUGGGAAGAACACCGGUGGCGAAGGCGGCAACCUGGUCCUUUACUGACGCUGAGGCGCGAAAGCGUGGGGAGCAAACAGG
rnacentral:rRNA from 1 species